rnacentral:hammerhead_ribozyme from 1 species
AUUUAGUUGAUGAGUCCCAAAUAGGACGAAACGUACGUCCUGAAU